CCGUUUCUCGUGAUCGCUACCCUCGCUGGUCGUCCCCCCGGAACAGGAGGAAGACCGAAAUAACGAGGGGAUG
rnacentral:misc_RNA from 1 species